UACGUAGGCAGCAAGCGUUGUUCGGAAUUACUGGGCGUAAAGAGUGCGUAGGCGGUUCCGCAAGUUUUGUCGUGAAAUCUCCCGGCUUAACUCGGAACGGUCAAGUGAUACUGUCGGACUAGAGUACAGAAGGGGCAACUGGAAUUCUCGGUGUAGCGGUGAAAUGCGUAGAUAUCGAGAGGAACACCUGCGGCGAAGGCGGGUUGCUGGGCUGAUACUGACGCUGAGGCGCGAAAGCCAGGGGAGCGAACGGGG
rnacentral:rRNA from 1 species